rnacentral:rRNA from 1 species
CAUCCGCUCGGGCAUUGAGAUUGACCCAACGGCGCGCAAGCGCCCACGACCGCGGCCCCAGGUCAGGCGGGAUCACCCGCUGAGUUUAAGCAUAUCAUA